rnacentral:rRNA from 1 species
GGAGUUAGCCGGUGCUUCUUCUGUGAGUGAUGUCCUUCCUGCCGGCUAUUAACCCGCAGGCCUUCUUCCUCACUGAAAGUGCUUUACAACCCGAAGGCCUUCUUCACACACGCGGCAUGGCUGGAUCAGGGUUGCCCCCAUUGUCCAAUAUUCCCCACUGCUGCCUCCCGUAGGAGUCUGGGCCGUGUCUCAGUCCCAGUGUGGCUGAUCAUCCUCUCAGACCAGCUACGGAUCGUCGCCUUGGUGAGCCGUUACCUCACCAACCAGCUAAUCCGACAUAGGCUCAUCCGAUAGCGCGAGGCCCGAAGGUCCCCCGCUUUCCCCCGUAGGGCGUAUGCGGUAUUAGCCUGGGUUUCCCCAGGUUAUCCCCCACUACCGGGCAGAUUCCUAUGCAUUACUCACCCGUCCGCCGCUCGCCACCAGGGAGCAAGCUCCCCGUGCUGCCGCUCGACUUGCAUGUGUUAGGCCUGCCGCCAGCGUUCAAUCUGAGCCAUANAUAACAACUCUACGUACGUAGACGGGCGGUCGGUCGGACGGACGGCGACUAGUAG